rnacentral:rRNA from 1 species
UAAAGAUUCAUCGCUGAUAGAUAGGCAUGCGUUCCAUUAGGCAGUUGGCGGGGUAACGGCCCACCAAACCGACGAUGGAUAGGGGUUCUGAGAGGAAGGUCCCCCACAUUGGUACUGAGACACGGACCAAACUCCUACGGGAGGCAGCAGUGAGGAAUAUUGGUCAAUGGGCGUAAGCCUGAACCAGCCAAGUCGCGUGAGGGAUGAAGGUUCUAUGGAUCGUAAACCUCUUUUAUAAGGGAAUAAAGUGUGGGACGUGUCCUAUUUUGUAUGUACCUUAUGAAUAAGGAUCGGCUAACUCCGUGCCAGCAGCCGCGGUAAUACGGAGGAUCCGAGCGUUAUCCGGAUUUAUUGGGUUUAAAGGGUGCGUAGGCGGCCUUUUAAGUCAGCGGUGAAAGUCUGUGGCUCAACCAUAGAAUUGCCGUUGAAACUGGGGGGCUUGAGUAUGUUUGAGGCAGGCGGAAUGCGUGGUGUAGCGGUGAAAUGCUUAGAUAUCACGCAGAACCCCGAUUGCGAAGGCAGCCUGCCAAGCCAUGACUGACGCUGAUGCACGAAAGCGUGGGGAUCAAACAGGAUUAGAUACCCUGGUAGUCCACGCAGUAAACGAUGAUCACUAGCUGUUUGCGAUA